rnacentral:rRNA from 1 species
AGAGUUUGAUCCUGGCUCAGGAUGAACGCUGGCGGUAUGCUUAACACGUGCAAGUCGGACGGGAAGUGGUGUUUCCAGUGGCAGACGGGUGAGUAACGCGUAAGAACCUGCCCUUGGGAGGGGAACAAUAGCUGGAAAUGACUGCUAAUACCCCAUAGGCUGAGGAGAAAAAGGGGGAAUCUGCCCAAGGAGGGGCUCGCGUCUGAUUAGUUAGUUGGUGAGGCAAUGGCUUACCAAGGCGACGAUCAGUAGCUGGUCUGAGAGGAUGAUCAACCACGCUGGGACUGAGACAUGGCCCAGACUCCUACGGGAGGAAGCAGUGGGGAAUUUUCUGCAAUGGGCGACAGCCUGAUGGAGCAAUGCNGCGUGAAGGCAAAAGGCCCACGAGUCAUGAACUUCUUUUCUCGGAGAAGAAAAAUGACGGUCUCUGAGGAAUAAGCAUCAGCUAAAUCUGUGCCAGCAGCCGCGGUAAU